rnacentral:piRNA from 1 species
GAAAACGAGCUAAUUCCGUGCCGAUGGAGGU